UUAACUUGUCAUCAUAUUAAGGUAGAAAGGCUGGUGGUAUUGUUGUUUAAGUAAGUUUAAGCACUAAGUACAUUUGAGGAGAGAAAAACUAGCCGGCAAAUACCUAUCAACAAGAUUAGCAGACAGCGAAUACCAAUCUGUUCAAACCGAGAAUCAAUGUGCGUCCAUACAGACUGCAACAAGCCAAUGAUUUUUUCACCCACGGACAUCAUCCCGUGGAAGCUCCAAAGUAGUUCUCCUAAAGAAGAUGUCCUGAUGCGACCCAAUAUUGUAUACUGACGGAUCAAAAUCCCCCAGAGGAACUGGAGCCGCAGUUCUAAACAUUGCAGACAACUCCACAAUUCAAAUUAAACUCCCCCAGAUGUGUUCUAGCUAUGCAGCCAAAGCUGUGGGUAUACUGGAAGCCGUCAACUAUAUAGCGAAAAACCCUAAUCAAACGUCCAUAAUUCUAACGGACAGCCUUAGCGUAUUAUCAGCGGUUAGAAUCGGUCAUAUGAAGGACCCAUUCAUCACAUCAAUCAAGCAGGGGUUGAUGGAAUUAGACAACAAGAGUAUGAAUGUAUUUUUAAUAUGAGUAAAAGGCCAUAGCAAUAACAAAUACAACAAUCAAGUUGAUGUUCUAGCAAAAGAAGCUGCCAACUCAGGAAUAGUAAAAUCAGGGGUAACAGCUUCCGGCGUAGUGGCAUACCUCAAUAAUUGAAUUAAAAAUUACUGGUAAAAGGAGUACAAUUCUUCCGAGACAGUAAAAGGAAAAGUACAUGCGAGUAUCCAGCCAUUAAUCCCACACAAACCAUGGUUCAGUACGGUCAAUUACCACCAAUUACCAAUAGACCACAUCUUUUUAUCCUGCCAUCCAACCACAAAAUACAGAGAUCAAUUGUAUUCUGCGAUUUUACAAUGCGGCUUGUUCUUACCUACUAGAAGCAGUAUAAUUUUGAGUAACACAAACUACCCCUUUAUCAGAAAUGAUAUAUACCAUUUCAUUGUGGCUAAUGGUUUAGUAAUUUAAUCACGGAGAUUGGAGUGUAGUAUGGGUCUCUCCCACACUAUUCACCUUUGAUAUGGCAGAUGUGAAAACACAAGGCAAAAAAAAAAGUUU